AACAGGAUUAGAUACCCUGGUAGUCCACGCCGUAAACGAUGUCGACUUGGAGGCUGUUCCCCUGAGGAGUGGCUUCCGGAGCUAACGCGUUAAGUCGACCGCCUGGGGAGUACGGCCGCAAGGUUAAAACUCAAAUGAAUUGACGGGGGCCCGCACAAGCGGUGGAGCAUGUGGUUUAAUUCGAUGCAACGCGAAGAACCUUACCUACUCUUGACAUCCACGGAAUUUGGCAGAGAUGCCUUAGUGCCUUCGGGAACCGUGAGACAGGUGCUGCAUGGCUGUCGUCAGCUCGUGUUGUGAAAUGUUGGGUUAAGUCCCGCAACGAGCGCAACCCUUAUCCUUUGUUGCCAGCGAUUCGGUCGGGAACUCAAAGGAGACUGCCGGUGAUAAACCGGAGGAAGGUGGGGAUGACGUCAAGUCAUCAUGGCCCUUACGAGUAGGGCUACACACGUGCUACAAUGGCGCAUACAAAGAGAAGCGACCUCGCGAGAGCAAGCGGACCUCAUAAAGUGCGUCGUAGUCCGGAUCGGAGUCUGCAACUCGACUCCGUGAAGUCGGAAUCGCUAGUAAUCGUGGAUCAGAAUGCCACGGUGAAUACGUUCCCGGGCCUUGUACACACCGCCCGUCACACCAUGGGAGUGGGUUGCAAAAGAAGUAGGUAGCUUAACCUUCGGGAGGGCGCUUACCACUUUGUGAUUCAUGACUGGGGUGAAGUCGUAACAAGGUAACC
rnacentral:rRNA from 1 species